AGUGUAGAGAGGUGAGGAUGCCCGAGGUCAGCUCGGGUGUGCAGGGGCUUAUUCUGGCUUCCAGUCACGUCCACGUUCAGAAGUCUGAGUCCUGAGCCACAGAUCUCCAUCUGAAGGACACUGUGGCUCCUGACUUCUGAGUUGGCCUGCUGGGCUGGAGCCUGCUGCGUGCCUGACCCCAGGAACCUGUCCCCGACAGGAAGGAAAGAUGCAGUCAAGGAAGUGUGGCAGACCCGACUGCAGACAAUUAGAAAAACAUCACCGUGCCUCACAGUGGAAGGCUGACUCCUCAAUAUUCCUCCAUCAGGAGCUGCCUCGGGACGUGCAGAAAUUCAGAGAGGAGUAACAGCCAAGAAGUGGUUUAUUUCCUUUGAAGUUACAGUUUCUGCCUUUUUUUCAGAUACUACCUCAUGCGGUGAGUGAAGAUUUUCAUUUAACCCCAAAAUCAGAAGGGGGAUACAAACAGGGUUAUUUGAGGGCCCCACAUGAAGUAAAAAAUUCUAGUGUAUGCAUACAUUAACUUUGCAUUUGCUAAUAAUUAUUGACUUUUGUAAAAGACUUUUAAAACAUUUCAAUUAGCACAGCAUGGAGGUAAUUAAAUAUGUGCAUGUAUUAGAAGCCUUAAACUUUUUAAGAGCAUGACACAUAAAUCUUAAGUCCCUUUACCCAGAACCCUCAAACUUGUCCCCUCUCCCUUUCUCCAGGGAUGAAUUUAGACUCCAUCCUUCCAGACCUCUUUUUAUAUUUAUGCAUGAAUACCCCUAUGUGUGAGUUGUUUUGAACAUGAGAGAUACACACAUCAUGCUGCAACUUGCUUUUUGUCCUUCAACAAGAUUUUUUGAGAUCUCACCAAUUAAAGUCUACCUGGUUCUCUCCUUUGAUCUGCUGUACAGUGUUCUGCCAUAUAAACGUGCCAUUUUCUAGACUGUAACCAUUCUUCUGCUGAGAACAUGCUGUCUCCAAUUUUUCACUCUAACAAGCAAUGCUGCCGUGACUAGCCCUGACAUGCGUUCUUGGGCACCUGAACAAGUACUUCUGCAGGACACCCAUCAAAAAGUGGAGAGAUGAUGUCAUUACUUCUUUAAAAGAGCAUCUUGAUCCUUAACUCUUCGGAAGUUCCUUGAAAGCCAUGUGGGUCUGUCUGAUUUGUAUCGCUAUCCCCAGAAUCCAGCACAGAGCCUGCCAGCUGGUGACUGCCUACCAUGCAUGGGGCUCCUGGUUUUUCCUUUGACCUCUUCAUUUCUCAGUCUCUUGCCUGGCUCCUCCUUGCCUCCAGCCCACUUCAAAGGUAACAGCUCAGGGUCUUCGCUCUUGGACUUUGCUUGUUUUUCCAGAGUCUCUUUCCUUUGGCCAGAAGCUCUCUUUCUAAGCUGUCCAUUAGAAUCAGUUGCGAAGGUUUUGAAAUGUACCAGCCCCCAAGCUCACUUCCCAGAAGUUCUGACAUGAUUGGCCUGCAGUGGGGUGAUUGCAGGUAAUGGUAUUUUUUUCUCUUAGCUUUCCUUUUGAUAUUAACAGGAGACUAGAAAGGAGAACCUAGGCUGAUGGUUCUCCAAGCGGAGUCCCAAAACUGCAGUACUGGCAUCCCCUGGGAUUUUUUUAGGAGUGUGAAUUCUUUUUGUUUGUUUGUUUGUUUGUUUAGAGCCGCACCCAUGGCAUAUGGAUGUUCCCAGGCUAGGAGUCCAAUUUGAACUGUGGCUGCCAGCCUAUGCCACAGCCAUAGUAAUGCCAGAUCCAAGCCACGUCUGUGACCUACACCACAGCUCAUGGCAGUGCUGGAUCCUUAACCCACUGAGCAAGGCCAGGAAUCACACCCACAACCUCAUGGUUUCUAGUUGGAUUCCUUUAUGCUAUGCCAUGAGGGAAACUCCAGGAGAGUGAAUUCUUGAGCUUGACCUUAAAACUACUGACCUUAAAAACUGGAGGGGCCAGGUACCUUGCAGUAUAGCUUAGGCCAGCCCUCCAGAUGAUCCUGAAGCAUGCUAAAUCAAACUUAAAAACCAGUGCCGUCGGUGAUCCACAUUUUUCUGACACUGUAAACUUGUAAACCUCCUUUUUCUCACCUCCAACCUCAACUCCUCUCCUGAACACCAGCUGCUCCACUAAUAUUCCACUAGGGCACUUCCCCCACAUCUCCAAUGCUCCCUGCCCCACUCCCGCAUGCCCAACUAUUUUAAUAUUUUGUUAUUAAUAUUUAAUAAUUAAUACUAAUAAAAAUAUAUUAAUAUUUUAUUAUUUUCGCCCCAAGUCUUCUCCAACCCAUCAAAGGCACAAGUAUAGUCCAAGUUGCUAGAGGUAGAAAUGCAGUAUUCAUCUUCAAAACUAUAAAAAAUAGGUCAUACACCCUGGUGACUUAAAAUUAGUAGGUAUAGAAAGUAAACAGUGAACGUUUCCCUCCCACCCUUACUCCCUGAUAUGGACCGAACUGUGUUCCUCCCAAAUUCAUGUAUUAAAGCCCUAACCCUCAAUGGAGUUCCCAUCGUGGCUCAGUGGUUAAUGAAUCUGACUAGGAACCAUGAGAUUGGGAGUUCGAUCCCUGGCCUUGCUCAGUGGGUUAAGGAUCUGGCAUUGCCGUGAGCUGUGGUGUAGGUUGCAGACGCGGCUCGGAUCCCGCAUUGCUGUGGCUCUGGCAUAGGGUGGUGGCUACAGCUCUGAUUAGACCCGUAGCCUGGGAACUUCCAUAUGCCAUGGGAGUGGCCCUAGAAAAGGCAAAAAGACAAAAAAAAAAAAAAAAAAAA
rnacentral:lncRNA from 1 species